rnacentral:rRNA from 1 species
AUGUGGAAAUUUAGGGCGCCACUCAAAGUUAAGAUAUUCCUUUGGUACUUACGACUCGGAGUAGUUCGAACCAGGGAUAACUUGGCUAAACUAAGCUGGCAAGGCAUUAAAAAUUGUUGCUUUUGUCACAAAGAUGAGACUAUUCGACAACUUUUCUUUGAAUGUUGCUUUGCACGGGCCGUUUGGUCUAUUAUACAAGCGGCCUUAGGCUUGUCUCGUGGAAUGAUGGUCCCCAAUUUUUUGGCUCUCCCAUGGCCAAUUAAAGAGAUGCUUGAAGUCUGA